UACGAAGGGGGCUAGCGUUGCUCGGAAUGACUGGGCGUAAAGGGCGCGUAGGCGGAAUGCUUUGUCGGACGUGAAAUUCCUGGGCUCAACCUGGGGGCUGCGUUUGAUACAUGUCUGCUUGAGUUCGGAAGAGGGUCGUGGAAUUCCCAGUGUAGAGGUGAAAUUCGUAGAUAUUGGGAAGAACACCGGUGGCGAAGGCGGCGACCUGGUCCGAUACUGACGCUGAGGCGCGAAAGCGUGGGGAGCAAACAGG
rnacentral:rRNA from 1 species